UCGGUGGAUUCCACUUGGGGACCUCUCCUUGUAAGUUUGAAACAAGAAUUGUAAUAGAUUGGAUGCACUGUGUCCCUUAUCAGCGUUGGGUCCGUCUGUUCCUGAGGGAGAUUUCUCAUAACAUCACAUUAUGCCCAAGAAUUUUUGCAUACGCGAAAGUGCAUAAAAUGCCAAAACAUUAUAGAUCUAUAGUUGAGAAAGAGUAUGCCCCAACAUAUCAUCUGGAGCAAGCUAUUGCUAGAUGGUGUAAUGUGAUUCUGGGGGAAGUGAGGAUUCAGUGAAAAUGGCAUUGACGGUGCUUAACAGAUUAAAAGAUUUGAAUACGGAAGAGGUAGUAUGCUGGGCUAUGUAUGACUAUGAAGCGUUAUAUCCGUCAUUGAGGUUUGAGCCAGUUUGUUUACAUUUUUAUAGAUUCGUUAUGAGAAAUCUCCUUCAGGAACGGAU
rnacentral:lncRNA from 1 species